GACGAACGCUGGCGGCGUGCCUAAUACAUGCAAGUAGGACGCAGUUGCGAACGGGUGAGUAACGCGUAGGUAACUACCUAUUAGAGGGGGAUAAAUAUUGGAAACGAUAGCUAAUACCGCCUACUAGUAGAUGGACCUGCGUUGUAUUAGCUAGUCUGUAGGGUAAUGGCCUACCUAGGCAACGAUACAUAGCCGACCUGGUAGGGUGAACGGGCAACCUGGGACUGGGACAAGGCCCAGAAUCCUACCGGAGGGAGCAGUAGGGAAUCGUCGGAAAUUGGGGGAACCCUGAACGAGCAACGCCGCGUGAGUGAAGGAGGGUUUCGGAUCGUAAAGCUCUGUUGUUAGGGAAGCGGUACUUAAACAGAAAGGGACGGCUAACUACGUGCCAGCAGCCGCGGUAAUAC
rnacentral:rRNA from 1 species